UACGGGGGGGGCAAGCGUUGUUCGGAAUUACUGGGCGUAAAGGGUGCGCAGGCGGUCCCGCAAGUCAGGCGUGAAAUCCCCGGGCUUAACCUGGGAAUGGCACUUGAAACUACGGGACUGGAGUAUGGCAGAGGGAGGUGGAAUUCCACGUGUAGCGGUGAAAUGCGUAGAGAUGUGGAGGAACACCGAUGGCGAAGGCAGCCUCCUGGGCCAAUACUGACGCUCAUGCACGAAAGCGUGGGGAGCAAACAGG
rnacentral:rRNA from 1 species